rnacentral:tRNA from 1 species
UGGCUCAGAGGUUAAAGUGUCUGCCUGGAAUGCAGGAGACCCAGGUUCGAUCCCUGG